AAAAAGCGUCAGCAGCGGAAGAGAAUCCUAUGUCAAGUGUAAAGGUCACUUGUGAGUCUUUGCUGGAUUUUUUUGCCAAACGAUAAAUAACCGGUUUUUUUGUGCGGACAUAAGUUUUCAUCUCCUUUGGAUAAAUACCAAGUAGUAUGAUUGCUGGAUCAUAAGUCUUCACAAUGGGAGAUGCAGAACAGCUGGCAGGAAUCAAUGUACUCUGUGUUUCUCAUGGGAGAAAGAAAGAACACUGAAGGAAACAAGGACUGUGCCAGGAGAGGUGAUUAAGCAAUUAGAAUAUUUUGAAGUCUAAAAUAACUGUAGUAUCAGGAGAACAACUGAACGAGAAAAUAAAUUACUGAGAGUAAAGCAGUCUGUAGAUUUUGGGAAGAUUCGUAGGUGUGUGAGAAACAAGACAUUUUGGAAUCUUAAUGUAAUCUGAGAAGUAAAAUAGACCUGUAUUCCUGUCAUUCUCUUUCUCAUUUUCUUCCUCCUCACCAAAUCAUGAUGUU
ensembl:lncRNA TANK-AS1 TANK antisense RNA 1